CCGAAAGAUGAAAAAGAGCGAUUGCUCUAUAAUCCCAGCUCUUUGAUGCCCUAGUAACGCCAGGGCUUUAUGAGAUGACGUCCGAUUCUGACUA
rnacentral:snoRNA from 1 species